rnacentral:rRNA from 1 species
AUUGAACGCUGGCGGCAGGCCUAACACAUGCAAGUCGAGCGAGCGGCGGACGGGUGAGUAAUGUCUGGGAAACUGCCUGAUGGAGGGGGAUAACUACUGGAAACGGUAGCUAAUACCGCAUACUAAUAGAUGAGCCUAAGUCGGAUUAGAUAGGUGGUGGGGUAAAGGCCUACCAAGGCGUCGAUCUGAAGCGGGUCUGAGAGGAUGAUCCGCGCCACUGGGACUGAGACCCUUCCCAUACUCCUCCGGGAGGCAGCAGGUGGGAGUAUUGGACAAAUGGGGGAACCCGGAUCCAUCCAGGCCGCGUGUGUGAAGAAGGCCUUAUGGUUGUAAAGCACUUUAAGCGAGGUGGCGUUACUCGCAGAAUAAGCACCGGCUAACUCCGUUCCAGCAGCCGCGGGAAUUC